GACGAACGCUGGCGGCGUGCUUAACACAUGCAAGUCGAACGGAAAGGCCCUGCUUUUGUGGGGUGCUCGAGUGGCGAACGGGUGAGUAACACGUGAGUAACCUGCCCUUGACUUUGGGAUAACUUCAGGAAACUGGGGCUAAUACCGGAUAGGAGCUCCUGCUGCAUGGUGGGGGUUGGAAAGUUUCGGCGGUUGGGGAUGGACUCGGGGCUUAUCAGCUUGUUGGUGGGGUAGUGGCUUACCAAGGCUUUGACGGGUAGCCGGCCUGAGAGGGUGACCGGCCACAUUGGGACUGAGAUACGGCCCAGACUCCGACGGGAGGCAGCAGUGGGGAAGAUUGCACAAUGGGCGGAAGCCUGAUGCAGCAACGCCGCGUGCGGGAUGACGGCCUUCGGGUUGUAAACCGCUUUCGCCUGUGACGAAGCGUGAGUGACGGUAAUGGGUAAAGAAGCACCGGCUAACUACGUG
rnacentral:rRNA from 1 species